rnacentral:tRNA from 1 species
CGACGCCAUCGCGCAACUUGGUCCGCUGCCCGCGCUGACGGCGCGGCGCAGGCAGAUCGACGUGCUGAUCGCGUCGGGCGGCGC